GGUCUCUGUGUUGGGCGUCUGUCUGCCCGCAUGCCUGCCUCUCUGUUGCUCUGAAGGAGGCAGGGGCUGGGCUUGCAGCUGCCUGGGCAGAGCGG
ensembl:miRNA MIR346 microRNA mir-346